CCCUCCAAAGACCUUCUCAUCUAUGAACUUUGACUCAAAACACCUAAAACUACAUGUCCUAAAGUAAGAAGGAUGAAGACAGAUUUUUAUUUAAUCAGGCUUACUCAUGGUCCAGUAUCAAUGAGAAAAUGGAUAAAAUUUGAGUUAUCUUUCUUUGUAUUCAGAGGUGCUCUUACCGACUGAGGCUUAUACAGUAACACAGAAGAAGUGUAUACAAAAUGGCGUCUAUUUUAAAUCAACAGACACACGAUGUCUGGUUUCAAAAAUAAAACAGAUUUCUAGAUAAACGAUGUUUUCUUGAGAGUUCAUUACAGUUCUCAUCUUUCAAUUAAUUAUGAUUUUGCUGUGGAACUACGGCAAAUGUUGCAAAUUGUGCUUGUAUGAUAAAUUGUCAUUGAUUAAAAUACACCUUAUCGCUAUUUGUCCGCCAUUACUGGACAUCACACAGGGUCCCGUAAAAUUUUGACGUCAUAAUUCAAAAUGUCUGACGCCACAAUGGAAAAGUGAUUGUUGUAUGACGCCAAUAGUUCAAGCGGAACAGAUUCUCGGGUCAAGCGGAAAUAGCGAUAAGGUGUAU
rnacentral:lncRNA from 1 species